GACGCAGAAACCUACCCGGAGUGGAAGCUCACGGACGCUGAGGGCAGUGAUUCCCUUGCCUGGGGCUGGCAGUCCUGAUUCGGGCCAGGACAACAGCCCUUCCAUGGAUUCCCCAGCGGACCACUUCAGAGCGGCCCAUGGAUGGCUCCCUGGGACCUGCAGAUGAGCAACACUUCCGCGGGCUGCAAGCCCGGCAGCCAGAGGAGAGGAGCUUCCAGGAGGCUGUGGGAAUGCAGUGAGCAAGCAGCCCCUUGGGUCAGGGGGACUCUGACCCAGAGCAGGUGCUCCCCCAGCCCUCAGCCCUCUCAGGGAAACCUGCCCUCCAGGACCCACUCAGCCACCA